AAUUGUACAUUAAAUUACAUAUUUUAAUACAGGACUCAGUGACGCAUACGAUUCUACAAAAACUACAGGUUACUGAAAAUUUAAUAUUACGUCUAGGUUUAGAAAAAGAAUUAAAUGGUCAUUCAGGAUGUGUUAAUUGUUUAGAAUGGAAUGAAACUGGACAAGUUCUUGCGUCAGCGUCAGAUGAUAAAGACAUUAUCUUAUGGGAUCCUUUUCGUUAUGAAAAAAAACUUGUACUUCAUUCGGGCCAUCGCGGAAAUAUUUUCUCUGUAAAAGCUAUAUACAGAUUUGUGUGUCUACGCGUUCUUUUGGCCGGCUGUUUUGGAUUAGCUGUUUGUAUCGUGCGAUGUGUUCCGUGGUGUUCGAGGGACGCGAGACGCUACGGUGGUAGGCCGCAUGACGGGACGCUCGAGCCUGGAGGUUGGUGAAAUGCGCGGCGCGGUGGGGCGUGGUAACCCGUGUUUUGGUAGACGGUGCGCGGCGGGUGCGGUGUACGCGGAUGAUUCGGCGAAUUCUGUCUACCGGCGAUGAUGAGUAAGGGAGACGGUAUACGGACUCUCGAAAAUCUUUGAGAGAGACGGAGAACUCUCCACCCCACUAGUCCGCCCUAUUCUUUUAAGGAAUAGAGUGAGCAGCGGCCGAGAACCCUCGGCGAAGGCGAAGAACACUUCACUCUCGGCUUGCUGGCUCGGGAUAGGGUUUGAAUCGAACGAUGCCGAGAACCCUCGGCGAACGCGGAAAACUCUACCCUGCUGUUUGUUCGGAAGAUCUUCUCUCGAUAUCAGACGAAUCGGUGCCGAUGGAUCGAGAAGUGAUCUGCACCUCCACCGGAGCGUUCUUUUAUACCCACUCGGGUGGAGACUCGGGGAUCUCCAUGAGUCUUUGGGUCCCUCCGGUUUCCGUAUCUCGUCGAUCGGGAUGCUGGCGGGAGAGAGGCGGUCGUCGAGACCGUCGUUGUCUCGUCGGUUUAUAGAAUUUUAUUACGGCCCGAUGCCCGUAUUGCGGUCUGGCGGUUAGUCUGCCGGGCCGGUCGCGGUCGUUGGUCGCCCGAUGGGUGUGGUUCGUUACAAAUUUAAUUACAUAUUACGUUUUAUUAACAAAAAACUAACAAAUUAACAGUUAAAAAAUGCGAUAAGGUUUGCGUGGCGUUUUAAGGGUGUAUCGGACAUACAAUCUUAGACAAAAGUGCAUGAAAUUUGAAAUACUUAAAUAUCUACGCCUAACGCAUAGUA